CCAGACUCCUACGGGAGGCAGCAGUGAGGAAUAUUGGUCAAUGGCCGCAGGGCUGAACCAGCCAAGUCGCGUGAGGGAUGACGGUCCUAUGGAUUGUAAACCUCUUUUGUCAGGGAGCAAAGGGCGCCACGUGUGGCGUUUUGCGAGUACCUGAAGAAAAAGCAUCGGCUAACUCCGUGCCAGCAGCCGCGGUAAUACGGAGGAUGCGAGCGUUAUCCGGAUUUAUUGGGUUUAAAGGGUGCGUAGGCGGGACCUUAAGUCAGCGGUAAAAUUGCGGUGCUCAACGCCGUAGAGCCGUUGAAACUGGGGUUCUUGAGUGAGCGAGAAGUAUGCGGAAUGCGUGGUGUAGCGGUGAAAUGCAUAGAUAUCACGCAGAACUCCGAUUGCGAAGGCAGCAUACCGGCGCUCAACUGACGCUGAGGCACGAAAGCGUGGGGAUCGAACAGGAUUAGAUACCCCCGUACAU
rnacentral:rRNA from 1 species